GGUUAGCUGGUAUGAGAGGAUGAUCAGCCACACUGGAACUGACACACGGUCCAGACUCCUACGGGAGGCAGCAGUGAGGAAUUUUGCGCAAUGGGGGAAACCCUGACGCAGCAACGCCGCGUGAGUGAAGAAGGCCCUUGGGUCGUAAAGCUCUGUCAAUGGGGAAGAAGUUAUUAUGUAUUAAUAGUGCAUUUUAUUGACGGUACCCAUGAAGGAAGCACCGGCUAACUCCGUGCCAGCAGCCGCGGUAAUACGGGGGGUGCAAGCGUUAUUCGGAAUUAUUGGGCGUAAGGGCACGCAGGCGGUCCUGUCAGUCAGAUGUGAAAGCCCGGGGCUCAACCCCGGACGUGCAUUUGAAACAGCAGGACUUGAGUACGGGAGAGGAAAGGGGAAUUCCUGGUGUAGAGGUGAAAUUCGUAGAUAUCAGGAGGAACACCGGUGGCGAAGGCGCCUUUCUGGACCGAUACUGACGCUGAGGUGCGAAGGCGUGGGUAGCGAACGGGAUUAGAUACCCCGGUAGUCCACGCAGUAAACGUUGUAUGCUAGGUGUAGCGGGUAUUGACCCCUGCUGCGCCGCAGUUAACACAUUAAGCAUACCGCCUGGGGAGUACGGUCGCAAGACUAAAACUCAAAGAAAUUGACGGGGGCCCGCACAAGCGGUGGAGCAUGUGGUUUAAUUCGACCAACGCGAAGAACCUUACCCAGACUUGACAUCUUGAGAAUCCUUUCGAAAGUUAGGAGUGCCUUCGGGAGCUCAAAGACAGGUGCUGCAUGGCUGUCGUCAGCUCGUGUCGUGAGAUGUUUGGUUAAGUCCAGCAACGAGCGCAACCCUUGUCUUCAGUUGCCAGCACGUAAUGGUGGGAACUCUGAAGAGACUGCCCCGGUUAACGGGGAGGAAGGUGGGGAUGACGUCAAGUCCUCAUGGCCCUUAUGUCUGGGGCUACACACGUGCUACAAUGGUAUGUACAACGGGCAGCAAGCGUGCGAGCGCAAGCAAAUCCCUUAAAGCAUAUCCCAGUCCGGAUUGGAGUCUGCAACUCGACUCCAUGAAGUUGGAAUCGCUAGUAAUCGUGGAUCAGCAUGCCACGGUGAAUACGUUCCCGGGCCUUGUACACACCGCCCGUCACACCAUGAGAGUCGAUUGUACCCGACGUCACUGGGCCAACCCUUCGGGGGGGCAGGUGCCUAAGGUAUGGUUGAUAAUUAGGGUGAAGUCGUAACAAGGUA
rnacentral:rRNA from 1 species